UACGUAGGGGGCGAGCGUUGUCCGGAAUCAUUGGGCGUAAAGAGCUCGUAGGCGGUCUGUUGCGUCCGCUGUGAAAACUCGGGGCUUAACCCCGAGCCUGCAGUGGAUACGGGCAGACUAGAGGUAGGUAGGGGAGAAUGGAAUUCCCGGUGUAGCGGUGAAAUGCGCAGAUAUCGGGAGGAACACCGGUGGCGAAGGCGGGAUCCUGGGCCAGUACUGACGCUGAGGAGCGAAAGCGUGGGGAGCAAACAGG
rnacentral:rRNA from 1 species